rnacentral:lncRNA from 1 species
CAUUUCUUCUAUACAAUAAAAAUAUACCAGAAGGUGUGAAUUCUCAAUAAAUGGUAGCUAGCUCAUGCUGUCUUAACAAAGUUAUUCUCCCACAAAGGACUCAAAUUGAUAUUUUUGGGUACAUGAGAAUAUGGAUGCAUAUGUGUAUAUAAAUAUAUAUCUUUGUCUUUAAAAUGUUUUAUUAAGUUUAGUUUUAGUUUACUACAAAUUCUAAAAUUUAUAACUUCUUCUGAUCAGUGCUGAUGGUACAGGAAAAGUUUGAGGUGGGAGAAGUCAGUGUACACAUGUAUGGUAGUGACCAGUGGCUUUUAAAUAAUGACAUCUCAGAUCUUCAUUUCUUACAUAGAAAGUGGCUGAUGAAUGGCAGGAGUGGAAGAAGGUGUCCCCAAACACAUUUGUCCUGCAGAGAAAUUAAUGAAGUGUUACGGCUGCAAUCUAGUAAUUGCUACCCAAGGGGAUGUUCAUGUCAGCCUUGAGGUUCUGAUUGUAGAACUCAAGGAUGAUCAAGGAGAAGGAUUUGGAUGGUAGCAUGGAUAGAGAUGGACCCCAGCCCAGUGACUAAACCAAAGAAUAACUGAGAAGCCAAAUUAAUAGUCAGAGGAUCCUUCAGGGAGUUUAGAAUCAGGGCAAGAGGCGGAAAUCUUGAAGAAUCUUUCAUCCAGGUCAUGAAUUUGAAUUAAGAAAUAGAAGACAUAGCCAAGAGUACAUGGAGACCCAGGUGGAAAAAAAGCCCUUGACCAGAGACACAAGAGGAAUAACUUGGUUCAAUUGACUCAGCAGAGAAAACCAGAAAUGAAUGCUUCAGAUUCCAAAUUAUGUUCUUUCCAGAGUGGAACCCCUGUGAAUCCGCUCCAAGGUAAGGUAACAACAAAGACCUUUUUCUCCCUCUCUAAUGAAUUAAACUUCCAUUUCCCUAGUUGGCUAGGUACCGUUGCUGAAAGGCAAUUUACUCAUCUGCAAAAUGGUGUCUGAGUAGUCAUUUCCAGAUGUACCUUUAGUUACGGCAGACAUUGGAACACAAAGGAAUUAUAGUGCAGGUCACCUUUGGCAUUCUCUAGUGUAAUCAUCACACCUUCUUAGGGACUGCAGGUAGGACCCGGGCCCUCACCAAUGAGACGCUGCUGCUCACGACACUUUCCUACCACCUGUGCAUACCACUGCCGUUGUGAGAAAUCAACCAUACUUCAACAAGAUCAGUGCUCUGUAAAUUAGUUCUUUACAUUGUUAAAGAUAGAGUCCCUAAGAACAGGC